UGGGGAAUUUUGGACAAUGGGCGAAAGCCUGAUCCAGCAAUGCCGCGUGUGUGAAGAAGGCCUUCGGGUUGUAAAGCACUUUUGUCCGGAAAGAAAUCCUUGGCUCUAAUACAGUCGGGGGAUGACGGUACCGGAAGAAUAAGCACCGGCUAACUACGUGCCAGCAGCCGCGGUAAUACGUAGGGUGCAAGCGUUAAUCGGAAUUACUGGGCGUAAAGCGUGCGCAGGCGGUUUGCUAAGACCGAUGUGAAAUCCCCGGGCUCAACCUGGGAACUGCAUUGGUGACUGGCAGGCUAGAGUAUGGCAGGAGGGGGGUAGAAUUCCACGUGUAGCAGUGAAAUGCGUAGAGAUGUGGAGGAAUACCGAUGGCGAAGGCAG
rnacentral:rRNA from 1 species